UACGGAGGAUGCGAGCGUUAUCCGGACUUAUUGGGUUUAAAGGGUGCGUAGGCGGUUCGUUAAGUCAGCGGUAAAAUUGCGGGGCUCAACCCCGUCGAGCCGUUGAAACUGGCAGACUUGAGUUGGCGAGAAGUACGCGGAAUGCGCGGUGUAGCGGUGAAAUGCAUAGAUAUCGCGCAGAACUCCGAUUGCGAAGGCAGCGUACCGGCGCCAGACUGACGCUGAGGCACGAAAGCGUGGGGAUCGAACAGG
rnacentral:rRNA from 1 species